ensembl:lncRNA
AUCUGUCAAAACAUGUAGAAGACAAAGUGUGUUUUUAAUGCUAAGCAAGUCUCUGACUUCAAUGUUAAACUGUUCAUUGAAUAUUCUGUUGCAUCUCUUGCCAGUUUAGUUCUGAUCUAUUCUCUCAUCCUGGUCCACAGCCAAAAGAGUCACGUCUAGCAGCAGCCUAAUGAAUAUCCAAGACAAAUUCAGCUGAGUGGAGAUGAGGCAAGGAGGGGAAGAGAGGACAGUGAAUCUUUGGUUCACCUCUCCUGCUAAACCAACAGGCACUUUCAGUAUGGACGGGGUUACGUGGACUUUCCAUGGAUUCCAAAGCACCUGCUUCUCCAGUAAUUAGCAGCUAAUCUAAAUGUAGGAUAAAGUUACUUGGCCGAUUAAUCGUAACAACACAUCCGUUAAGCUGCAUUGGCUUUUUGGUCUUAUGGAGCCAAGCCAUUGCCUAUCACACUGCCUGUUAAGCGCAUUUCACUUGAUUUAUCCCAUCAUAUGAUCGUACAGGAAAAUAUAGAGGAUGAGGGGAAACUGGUGGGGGAUAUGAGAUUAUCCCACAUCACGUUUUGCCCUGGUAAGAAUCGGAGCAGUGACUUUGGACCUUAAGCAGUGAGCCCAUUAUGAAAUAUCCCUGAGCCUGAAACUCAGCAGGGACUGAUCCAAACAAACCUUCAAAGUGGGUGCUGCAUUGUUUAAAUGUUGCCAUUGGGAUUUUGGAUGACUUGUUAUUAUAAAUCAUUUUUGUGUGUUGAUUAAUGAUUUGUGCUUUGUGCUCUUUUGGAAAAACUUACAUACUAACAAAAGUCUGAUUUUAUUUUCACAUUUUGUAAGGCUGUAAUUUUAUUAUGAAUGAUAAACAGAACUAAUUCUAAAAAUGCUUCAUUUUAUUGUAUAUUUUUUUUAUAUAUUAUUAUAUAUUAUAAGUAUUGUUUAUUUAGUAUAUAUUGUAUAUAGCAUGUUUAGCAGUGAGUUCUAACCAUGCUUUUUAUAAUAAUCUCUCUGGUUUGUUUCCAAGCACCAAAAUCUACCCAAAGGAGCUUUAAUAGGAAUUAACUAAGAAAAUCAUUGUUUAUUUAUUUACUUGGAAAAUGUAAUUUUGUAAUUUGAUUCAAUGUCAGUCACCCUUUUUUAAUAUUGCUUGAAUAUUGUUUGUAAGGAAAAAAUAUAACAUUGACAGUAGUAUGUAUAAGUCAGCAUAAGUUUAGUUUCUUAUGUGUUAAAAUUAGUACAGGUUAGAUAAAAUAUUGCAAAACAUGACAUUUAAUCCAUCAUAUAAGAUCAAGUAAUAUGUUGGGGGUAAAAAAUCUCAAAGGACAAAUAAACGUCUGAUGUUUUAGACA